AUUGAACGCUGGCGGCAGGCCUAACACAUGCAAGUCGAGCGAGCGGCGGACGGGUGAGUAAUGUAUGGGGACUGCACGAUAGAGGGGGAUAACUACUGGAAACGGUGGCUAAUAACGCCUACUGUCGGAUAACCCAUAUGGGAUUAGCUAGUAGGUAAGGUAAUGGCUUACCUAGGCGACGAUACCUAGCUGGUCUGAGAGGAUGAUCAGCCACACUGGGACUGAGACACGGCCCAGACUCCUACGGAGGCAGCAGUGGGGAAGAUUGCGCAAUGGGCGCAAGCCUGAUGCAGCCAUGCCGCGUGUAUGAAGAAGGUCCUAGGGUUGUAAAGUAUUUUCAGUCGGGAGGCGUUACCGACAGAAGAAGCACCGGCUAACUCCGUGCCAGCAGCCGCGGUAAUUC
rnacentral:rRNA from 1 species